rnacentral:rRNA from 1 species
ACGCUGGCGGCAGGCCUAACACAUGCAAGUCGAGCGGUAGAGAGAAGCUUGCUUCUCUUGAGAGCGGCGGACGGGUGAGUAAUGCCUAGGAAUCUGCCUGGUAGUGGGGGAUAACGUCCGGGAACGGACGCUAAUACCGCAUACGUCCUACGGGAGAAAGCAGGGGACCUUCGGGCCUUGCGCUAUCAGAUGAGCCUAGGUCGGAUUAGCUAGUUGGUGGGGUAAUGGCUCACCAAGGCGACGAUCCGUAACUGGUCUGAGAGGAUGAUCAGUCACACUGGAACUGAGACACGGUCCAGACUCCUACGGGAGGCAGCAGUGGGGAAUAUUGGACAAUGGGCGAAAGCCUGAUCCAGCCAUGCCGCGUGUGUGAAGAAGGUCUUCGGAUUGUAAAGCACUUUAAGUUGGGAGGAAGGGCAGUUACCUAAUACGUGAUUGUUUUGACGUUACCGACAGAAUAAGCACCGGCUAACUCUGUGCCAGCAGCCGCGGUAAUACAGAGGGUGCAAGCGUUAAUCGGAAUUACUGGGCGUAAAGCGCGCGUAGGUGGUUCGUUAAGUUGGAUGUGAAAUCCCCGGGCUCAACCUGGGAACUGCAUUCAAAACUGACGAGCUAGAGUAUGGUAGAGGGUGGUGGAAUUUCCUGUGUAGCGGCGAAAUGCGUAGAUAUAGGAAGGAACACCAGUGGCGAAGGCGACCACCUGGACUGAUACUGACACUGAGGUGCGAAAGCGUGGGGAGCAAAC